rnacentral:lncRNA from 1 species
CUAUGGGCGAUCCUUUGCCCUUGAGUGUGCUAGCCUUAACCGGUCCAGAGGGCUACUGGAAAGAUCCCCAAGUGUCUCCCCAGCGCGUCUGUAAAGCCAAUGAGCUCAUCACUGUCAAUUUGGAUGUUCCUAGUAGAGGAAGAGAUGUUUCUGGCGAUUCUGCUAGAAGUAGGACCAAGGAAGGCUUGUCUAGCAGCCAAACUGGGAUGCC